GGGGAUUUAGCUCAGCAGCACAAGCACCUGCCUUGUAAGCAGGCGGUCGUGAGUUCAAUCCCCG
rnacentral:tRNA from 1 species